CUAUUUUAUGUAAUCUUGCGUCACCGUAAGCAUAGUUAUCUAGAAAGAAAAUCAUUGUGAGUUUUUUUUUAGCUCUUAGCUUAAAAUUUGAUCGUGAAUCAUUUCUAUUUCCUAUCUAUUUUACUGUUGCCAAAAUAUUAUCGAUAGAUUAAUAUUUGUGUAUUGGUUCUCUCACAAUCGCAUGAUCCUUCUUGGGUCUUUGAAGUUACUUCUUUCCCACAUUCGUAUGGGAUUAAUCUAUAGAUGCCUAUUAGUGUCUGUUUCUUUGAGUUUAUGUUGCUAUCAGAUUCGAUGUAUUUUUUGGGUUUAUGUUGUUGGCCGAUUCGGUUCAGAAUUGUAAGAGUACUUUGGUUUGGUUGAAUUACAAG
rnacentral:lncRNA from 1 species